CUUUUAGCUAGUUUUGGGCUUUUGUGUGUAGCAAAACCACUGAUCGCAAAACAAAUGAUUGAUUGCAUGCACUCAGAUGCAGAAGUUGGUAGCAGAGGGCUCCUUUCACAAGUGACACUAUCUCACGGCAGUUCACAACAUAGGACAAGAUACAGAGAAACAAUGUAAAAAAUGGUUUAUCUUCAUGUUGACAGCAGCCAACAAUCUAGUGUGUUUGUUCUCUCAAACUCCGGCAGUCAAUUACAUUCAGGAUGCAUUGCUUCGAAACCAAGGAUUAAUUUCUUCGUGAAGGUUUUUCUCCCCUGAAAAAGCCAAGCCUUAGCUUAAAAGAAGACGUCCGAUUUUCUGACACAUGUAACUGAGCUGUCCGGCUGACCGAGAAGCCUCUCCUCCAUCCUGCCUCACAUCUAGAUCGAUAGCAGGGGCUUAAUCGCAUUGCCUUGCUCCCUCUUCAUUUCCUCUGGUUUAGGGGCAUUUCAGACAUGAAUAACAUAAUGCUAUUGUGAAUGUUAUUUUAGUGUCAGAAUUGGAGAGUGUUUCAGAAUGAAACUUACCAUGUGUGUGUGUGUGUGUUAGUGGUGGGAAUCUGGCCUAAUGAGUGCUCCUGGCAAGUCAUAUUUCAUUGUUCUUCUUUUUCUUUUUUUAAAAGAGAGACAGGCAGGAAAUCACGAUCAGCCGUCGAAAACAGCACAUUUCAUAAUCUAAAAAUAAAUUAAGCUCCAAACUGGGUGGCAUAAGCAAACUGGCUCGCCUGCAUCAUUGUUUAAAGUGAUAUGAAUGAGCAGGCCAGGGCAGGGAAAGCUCAGCUGAUGUAGUAACAGACGCUUGAGGUGCUAUUUGGUGGGGCCAUAUUCUUUGAGCGACUUCAGACAUGACACCCAAGGCCUUUUGCGCUCUCUGAAUUCAAGUACCCCUUUGACGGGCUGCUGCUGCAGCUCCCAAGGUGGGUACAGAAUUCUCACAUAGCACCGGGCUCCAACUUGCAAGAUUUUAUUUAAUGACAUCCUUGCCUGGGGCAAAUGAGCAAAUGAGAAAACAAACAAACAAACAAACAGAGCUAGCUGCCAACAUAAACCCAAAAUGAACAAAAAGGCUGACAGGAAAAAGUAUGCAAAAAUAACACAUAAUUUAAUUAAUAUACAUGGGGGGUUGUUUAUUUAUUUAAUAACAUUGAUCUCAUAUAGAUAUAGAUAUGCAUGUACCAUGCUUAGAUUUUUAGGUUGACCUUGUAUUAUUUAGUUUAUCAAAUUGCAUGAUAUUUUUUGCAUAUUUUCCCCAGUGAGAGCCUGUCUUGGGAGGACUUUGGCAGCACCUCUAAUCCCGUGGAAGCUGCAGAUGCCCAGAGCCUUGGCAGCUCCUUCCUUUCAGAACAAUAUUGCUUGGCAGACAGCCCCGAAUGAGACCCCAUUUUGAAAGUAGCGCUAUCGAUGGGAACAGAAACAUUGCCCCUAAAAUCCACUUCGCUGUGAAAAUAUUCACUCUUGUUUAUUCCUUUAAGACGAAAUGGGCGAUCCCUUCACAUCAAAAAUCCCUCAUUCUUCAACAGCAUUUUCAGGGUCUGACAAAGUAUUUAAUUCUUAGACUGCAUACGCAUUUGCCAUUCACUCAGGUUCCUGUGCAAUUCCCACCUCUGUUUUUUUUAAUCUGUUGACACAGGACAUUACCCACGACCUCAGGCAUCUCAAAGUUUCCUCUGAAAUACUGCAUUUCGAUCCCAUUUUCCCCAAGCCAGCUUCACUCUGACUUGAGAACUAAUAAUGAAGCAGAUGUUGCAGAUAAUUAUUAUGCUAUUUUUGUGAUAUACAAAUGACACGAGAAAACUUGGUACGCUUGUUUGUAUAACACUAUUCUUGUUUAUAAAACCCAAUUUAAAAAAAGAAAAGAACUGUAGGCUUACUCAAUGCACAAGUGAAUUCUAGGUGUGUACAAUUGAAACAAAGCAGAUUUCUGGGUACAGAGAUGGAGUGGGGAAACCAGCCAGGUAAUGCAGGGUAAUGUACACACACACACACACACACACACACACACACACACACACACCAUUUCCACUCACUGGUGCCGACAUAUAGCAGGAGACUUUGAUACACAUUGAAGUGUGCUGUUGUGUACAGCGGAAUACCAUAGCUGCCAUGUUCCGGCCUGAGA